GGAUCUAAGCAGGGCUACGUGGUCGGGUUAUAGAAAAAGAUGCGUCCAGGUUGUUAACAGAGGGAAACGGUGGCGCCUGCAGAUCCGACGGCAUGGGC